UACGAGGGGGGCGAGCGUUGUUCGGAAUUAUUGGGCGUAAAGGGUGCGUAGGCGGUUUGGUAAGUCUGAUGUGAAAUCUAUGGGCUCAACUCAUAGUCUGCAUCGGAAACUGCCGGGCUUGAGUGUGGGAGAGGUGAGUGAAUUCCUGGUGUAGCGGUGAAAUGCGUAGAUAUCAAGUGGAACACCAGUGGCGAAGGCGAGUCUCUGGACAUUUCCUGACGCUGAGGCACGAAAGCCAGGGGAGCAAACGGG
rnacentral:rRNA from 1 species